AUUGAACGCUGGCGGCAGGCCUAACACAUGCAAGUCGAGCGGAUGAAGGGAGCUUGCUCCUGGAUUCAGCGGCGGACGGGUGAGUAAUGCCUAGGAAUCUGCCUGGUAGUGGGGGAUAACGUCCGGAAACGGGCGCUAAUACCGCAUACGUCCUGAGGGUGAAAGUGGGGGAGCUUCGGACCCCACGCUAUCAGAUGAGCCUAGGUCGGAUUAGCUAGUUGGUGGGGUAAAGGCCUACCAAGGCGACGAUCCGUAACUGGUCUGAGAGGAUGAUCAGUCACACUGGAACUGAGACACGGUCCAGACUCCUACGGGAGGCAGCAGUGGGGAAUAUUGGACAAUGGGCGAAAGCCUGAUCCAGCCAUGCCGCGUGUGUGAAGAAGGUCUUCGGAUUGUAAAGCACUUUAAGUUGGGAGGAAGGGCAGUAAGUUAAUACCUUGCUGUUUUGACGUUACCAACAGAAUAAGCACCGGCUAACUUCGUG
rnacentral:rRNA from 1 species